UACGAAGGUCCCAAGCGUUGUUCGGAAUCACUGGGCGUAAAGGGAGCGUAGGCGGCGCGGUAAGUCAGAUGUGAAAUCCCGGGGCUCAACCCCGGAACUGCAUCCGAUACUGCCGUGCUUGAGGGUUGGAGAGGUAGCUGGAAUUCUCGGUGUAGCAGUGAAAUGCGUGGAUAUCGAGAGGAACACUCGUGGCGAAGGUGAGCUACUGGACAACAUCUGACGUUGAGGCUCGAAGGCCAGGGGAGCAAAAGGG
rnacentral:rRNA from 1 species